GUGGCUUUCUAUCCAGGCAAAGAAAAAUAAAUGACUCAGGUGGCAGAUCUAAAAGUCCAGAUAGAGAUGCAGAGAGCCAAUGAAGUUUAUGAGACCUAAGGAAGGAACUUGCAACAUGUGCCAAUCGGUAUGGACCAGUGAUUCAUGUUUUGUUCCCAUUUUUCUUCUAAUUCCUUCCCCGCUUUGGGACAAGAAUAGGGAGACAGUGAUAGGAAAGGAAUUGGUAGUACAAGAAUCCACAAACUACAACAUAUAUAACAAUAUGCUGAGUAAAGGAAACUAGACACAAAAGGCUGUAUGCUAUAUCAUUCUAUUUACAUAGAAUUUAAACACUAGCAAGAGAAACUUACUGUUGUUUGAUUUCAGGAUAAUAGUUAUCCUUGGGA
rnacentral:lncRNA from 1 species